AAAAAUAAGUAAAAUUUACAAGGCUUAAACCCGAAAAUAACAAAAUAUAUUUGUUCGAGAAUUGGCACUUUUUGACUCAUUUUCAGCUUUUUGAGGUCAUUGCUGAUCGUUUACUUGGGUUUUAACCCAAAUAAUAACAUCUUUCUUCUCUUUCGCAGCAUGAAGGUUGACACAAGGAGAAUUGAAUGCAAGGGGGUAGGGAGUCCGAGUGGACUCAACAUGGGAUAGUGUUCAUGCAAAGAAGAUAAAGGUAAUGAUUUAGCACAAGUGAAUUAAACAAGUAGGAGCUGAUAUUUAUAAAAUAAAGCAACUCAUAUAGCAUGUCAGAUAUUUGAUAUUCUAAUAAUAACCUAUCGUUG
rnacentral:misc_RNA from 1 species